GUCCUGAUUAUUGCUGCUGGUGUUGGUGAAUUUGAAGCAGGCAUCUCCAAGCAUGGGCAGACCCAUGAGUGUGCCCUUCUGGCUUACACAGUGAGUGUGAAACAGCUGAUUGGUGGUGUUAAAAUGAAUGGGCAGACCCAGUGAG